GCAGGUUGCUCGAAACACGGCGAAGUGGAGCGGCAAGAAGCUCAGAUUUGAAAUCUCAUCAUUCGUGGUGCGAGUUUGUAAAAUUGCAGGGUUGGGAGUCCUCGGUUUUAGGACGGUGUUGUGCCAAGUCCCCUUGGAAACAGGGGCGCCCACUGAAGGGUUGAAGAAGCCCCCUAGGUGUGCACGAAUCGAACGCCUGUGAGGCCCCUUUCUGAACGAGGUCGAAGUUGUUUUGGGAAAUGGCAGCUUUUUAAGUGGGGUGGGGUAAAAUUUCCCAUUUUAAGGGCUAAAAUUUUUUGGGCGAAAAAAAACCCCAAUAAGGCGAAAAAAAGGUCCCGGGGGAAAGGGAAAAAAAAUGGAAAAAAGCCCCUUUUUGAAAAAAGGGGGGGGGGAAAAAACCCCCCGGGGAAAAAAUUGUUUUGAAAAGGGGGAAAGGGGUAUUUUGGGGCCCCCCAAAAAAGGGGGGGUUUUUCCCCCCAAAGGGGUGGGCCUCCUUGCGGGGGGGGGGGGGCCCCCUUUUGGGGUUUUUUUUUCCGGGGGGGCCCCCCCCCCCCUUUUUUUUUUUUUUUUUUGGGAAGAAAAAGGGGCCCCUUUUUUGGGGAAAAGGGGGGCCCCCCCCCCCGGGGGGGGGUUUUUUUACCCCCCCCCCCUCGGGUAAAAAAAGGCGCCCAACUUUUUUUGGGAACCCCGGGAAAAGGGGCCGUCGCCGGGCAAAAAAAUUUUUUUUUUUUCUCUUGAAAAAAAGGGGGCCCCCGCCCCCGGGGGGGGCCCAAUAAUCCCUCCCCCCCCCUUUUUUAAAAAGUUUCAAAAAAAACAAAAAAAAAAAAAAAAUUUUUUUUUUUUGUUUGUUUCGU
rnacentral:rRNA from 1 species